GACGAACGCUGGCGGCGCGCUUAACACAUGCAAGUCGAACGGAAAGGCCUGCUUUCCCUUGUGGAUUGCGGGUACUCGAGUGGCGAACGGGUGAGUAACACGUGAGUGAUCUGCCCCCAACUGGGGUAUAAGCCUGGGAAACUGGGUCUAAUUCCCGAUAGGACUGCAGGGUGGUGCCUGUGGUGGAAAACGAUUUUCUAGUGGUUGGGGAUGAGCUCGCGGCCUAUCAGCUUGUUGGUGGGGUAAUGGCCUACCAAGGCGGCGACGGGUAGCCGGCCUGAGAGGGUGGACGGCCACAUUGGGACUGAGAUACGGCCCAGACUCCUACGGGAGGCAGCAGUGGGGAAUAUUGCACCAUGGGCGGAAGCCUGAUGCAGCGACGCCGCGUGGGGGAUGACGGCCUUCGGGUUGUAAACUCCUUUCGACCGAGAGGAAGCCACCUGGUUGGAAGGGUGGUGACGGUAGUGGUAGAAGAAGCACCGGCUAACUACGUG
rnacentral:rRNA from 1 species